UACGUAGGGUGCGAGCGUUGUCCGGAAUUACUGGGCGUAAAGAGCUCGUAGGUGGUUUGUCGCGUUGUCCGUGAAAACUCACAGCUUAACUGUGGGCGUGCGGGCGAUACGGGCAGACUGGAGUACUGCAGGGGAGACUGGAAUUCCUGGUGUAGCGGUGGAAUGCGCAGAUAUCAGGAGGAACACCGGUGGCGAAGGCGGGUCUCUGGGCAGUAACUGACACUGAGGCGCGAAAGCGUGGGGAGCAAACAGG
rnacentral:rRNA from 1 species